AUUGAACGCUGGCGGCAUGCCUUACACAUGCAAGUCGAACGGCAGCACGGGGGCAACCCUGGUGGCGAGUGGCGAACGGGUGAGUAAUGCAUCGGAACGUGUCCUCUUGUGGGGGAUAACCAGUCGAAAGAUUGGCUAAUACCGCAUGAGAUCGAGAAAUGAAAGCGGGGGACCCGAGGGUAACUUCGGGCCUCGCGCGAGAGGAGCGGCCGAUGCCGGAUUAGCUAGNGGUGGGGUAAGAGCCUACCAAGGCGACGAUCCGUAGCUGGUCUGAGAGGACGAUCAGCCACACUGGCACUGCGACACGGGCCAGACUCCUACGGGAGGCAGCAGUAAGGAAUAUUGCGCAAUGGGGCGAAAGCCUGACGCAGCGACGCCGCGUGGGGGA
rnacentral:rRNA from 1 species